AAGUCUGUGCUCUAUAGAGUCUAGAAUUAAUCUGUGCUGCACUACAAGUGUAGUCAAACACUUUCACAGUCUUUCUGAACCGGCUGAUUGCUCUCAUCUAUUCGUGUGUUACGCCCAGAUGGACUGAACGGCAAGUGAGAUGCUGAUCUUCCUGGAUGAAAUCUUCACUCUGGAUGAGUCUUUGUACGCAGAACCUGAAGCCCUGGCUGCUGCACUGAAGACGCUUUUAUGGCGGAGCCUCCAGCGGUUUCACGAAAGGCUGGAAACAGAUGACAUCUAAAGGCCAACCUUGAUUAGAACCUUUAUAUACAGUGUAUCACAAAAUUUCUGUACUUGUGGAGGUGCGUCAGGACCGAAGACAUGCGCGACGUGUGAAGAUACCACUGAUGUGGAAGCAUGUAUUGGGAUUUCAGAUAGACAUGCUGCCAUUAAGACGUCGUCUUUACAUCAAGACAACACCAGACGACUUCAUGAACCAGAUCCAGAUGUGUAAAAAGUUGACGUUCUGUAAAAAUGUAAUAAAAAGAAGAAACUGUGA